rnacentral:rRNA from 1 species
UACGAAGGGGGCUAGCGUUGUUCGGAAUUACUGGGCGUAAAGGGCGCGUAGGCGGUGUGUCAAGUCAGGCGUGAAAGCCCCGGGCUCAACCUGGGAACCGCGCUUGAGACUGGCACGCUAGAGUUCGGGAGAGGAUGGUGGAAUUCCCAGUGUAGAGGUGAAAUUCGUAGAUAUUCGCAAGAACACCAGUGGCGAAGGCGGCUCACUGGCCCGGUACUGACGCUGAGGCACGAAAGCGUGGGGAGCAAACAGG